AACUACUGGACUGACCGGAAAAACCAGACACCCUAUUACUAUGGACUCUCUCCUCAAGUGCAGUAACAGAGCUGGGGGACAAUGUAGUCUCUGAGCCUAAAGCUAGUUCUUUGCUAGCAGAAUCGUCUUCAUCCACCCUCUGAAAAGCUAUAACAGAUGUGGGAGACACAGUAGAUUCCGAACAACGCUUCAAAUCUUUAGAAAAUCUCUUGGUUAUGUCUGUAGCUGAAAUAGGUUGAACAACUGGUAAAGUUAAUUUAUGGGAUAAUGGCACCUGUGAAACUACAGUUGCCACCGGAAUCCUAU
rnacentral:misc_RNA from 1 species